CUUAACCACUGAUUUUUUUUAAUCAAGUUUUACAGUGAUUAUUUGAUAUGUUUCUAUAAAUCUUACUUUGUGCUGUUAUAAAAAACCUCCAUUUUGAAAAUCUACAUUGUACAGAAGCACAUGCCUUCAAUGUUUUCAUACAAAAAAACCUAU